UAGGUGAACCUGCGGAAGGAUCAUUACCGAGUGAGGGCCCUCUGGGUCCAACCUCCCACCCGUGUUUAUUUUACCUUGUUGCUUCGGCGGGCCCGCCUUAACUGGCCGCCGGGGGGCUUACGCCCCCGGGCCCGCGCCCGCCGAAGACACCCUCGAACUCUGUCUGAAGAUUGUAGUCUGAGUGAAAAUAUAAAUUAUUUAAAACUUUCAACAACGGAUCUCUUGGUUCCGGCAUCGAUGAAGAACGCAGCGAAAUGCGAUACGUAAUGUGAAUUGCAAAUUCAGUGAAUCAUCGAGUCUUUGAACGCACAUUGCGCCCCCUGGUAUUCCGGGGGGCAUGCCUGUCCGAGCGUCAUUUCUGCCCUCAAGCACGGCUUGUGUGUUGGGCCCCGUCCUCCGAUCCCGGGGGACGGGCCCGAAAGGCAGCGGCGGCACCGCGUCCGGUCCUCGAGCGUAUGGGGCUUUGUCACCCGCUCUGUAGGCCCGGCCGGCGCUUGCCGAUCAACCCAAAUUUUUAUCCAGGUUGACCUCGGAUCAGGUAGGGAUACC
rnacentral:rRNA from 1 species